rnacentral:tRNA from 1 species
CGGGACAUGGCUCAGCUUGGUAGAGUACCUGUUUUGGGAACAGGGGGUCGCAGGUUCAAAUCCUGCUGUCCCGA